CACUAUUUUGCUGUCUAUAGACUAAUACAUAUGGCGUCAAAUGUUCGUUUUAGUUUUUUAGUUUUGGUGUAAUUGAAAGUUUUAACUGACAAAUUCGUAAAAUAAAUAUGUUAAUUUUCAUCUAAAAUAGGUAAAUAAUGAUGUUUAUAGACGAACAGCCGAAAUGACAGGUGUUAGCAUAAAUACUAUCCGAAAUAUAGAAAAAGAAGGUGUUAAAAAUAAGGGCGUAUUUUCUUCACCAGGGACACCGAAAAGGUCGUCCAAGAAAGGUUUUGGAUAAUUUUAUCCACGUGGUGAAAAAACAGGUGCCCACUCUUCGUAAUCUGCUACCUGUUAUAAAAGCAGACUAAAAUAUGAUGGAAGUCGAGAACAUCUGCGAAAAGUAUUAAUUUCACUGAACAAUUUGAUUCUAAUUAAAUAAAAUCAC